rnacentral:rRNA from 1 species
CAGUAGCCGCGGGAAUACAGAGGGUGCGAGCGUUAAUCGGAUUUACUGGGCGUAAAGCGUGCGUAGGCGGCUUUUUAAGUCGGAUGUGAAAUCCCUGAGCUUAACUUAGGAAUUGCAUUCGAUACUGGGAAGCUAGAGUAUGGGAGAGGAUGGUAGAAUUCCAGGUGUAGCGGUGAAAUGCGUAGAGAUCUGGAGGAAUACCGAUGGCGAAGGCAGCCAUCUGGCCUAAUACUGACGCUGAGGUACGAAAGCAUGGGGAGCAAACAGGAUUAGAUACCCGUUAGUCCCUGUCUCUUAUACC